rnacentral:lncRNA from 1 species
AAGAAAAAGAAAAAAGAAAAGAAGUUUUUAUACAAAUUCGGUUUCUGGUUCAGUUCAGAUACAAGUAACAAAAUUCGCAACCGAAACUGAAAAUUCGAAUAUUAGAGAUUUAUCCUCUGUUUACCGUGAAUUAAGGCUUAGUCUCAUCUGACGCUAUUAGAUAAAAUAGAGUUAAAGAUAAAAAUAAAUAAGGAUAUGCUUCUACAUUUUCCGAUAAGAUCACACAAAAUAUAUCGUUUCCGUAUAUAUUAUGUAUGAAAAUAAAUAAAAUAUUUUUCAUCGUCCUUUUUUACCGUAGAUAAUUUAAUCUUUUCGCAAUUCCAAACGAAGCCUAAUAAAUCUCUAUCGGGUUCAGAUUUCUGUAUUUAUUUAUAU